rnacentral:rRNA from 1 species
UACGUAGGCAGCAAGCGUUGUUCGGAAUUAUUGGGCGUAAAGCGCGUGUAGGCGGCUCGGUAAGUCUGCUGUGAAAGUCCAAGGCUCAACCUUGGAAAGCCGGUGGAUACUGUCGAGCUCGAGUCCGGAAGAGGCGAGUGGAAUUCCUGGUGUAGCGGUGAAAUGCGCAGAUAUCAGGAGGAACACCAAUGGCGAAGGCAGCUCGCUGGGACGGUACUGACGCUGAGACGCGAAAGCGUGGGGAGCAAACAGG